rnacentral:rRNA from 1 species
UACGUAGGGUGCGAGCGUUGUCCGGAAUUAUUGGGCGUAAAGAGCUCGUAGGCGGUGUGUCGCGUCGGCCGUGAAAACCUGGGGCUCAACUCUGGGCGUGCGGUCGAUACGGGCAUCACUAGAGUCCGGAAGAGGAGAGUGGAAUUCCUGGUGUAGCGGUGAAAUGCGCAGAUAUCAGGAAGAACACCUAUGGCGAAGGCAGCUCUCUGGGACGGUACUGACGCUGAGACGCGAAAGCGUGGGGAGCGAACAGG